rnacentral:rRNA from 1 species
AACGCGAAGAACCUUACCUGGCCUUGACAUCCAGAGAACUUAGCAGAGAUGCUUUGGUGCCUUCGGGAACUCUGAGACAGGUGCUGCAUGGCUGUCGUCAGCUCGUGUUGUGAAAUGUUGGGUUAAGUCCCGCAACGAGCGCAACCCUUAUCCUUUGUUGCCAGCGGCUCGGCCGGGAACUCAAAGGAGACUGCCGGUGAUAAACCGGAGGAAGGUGGGGAUGACGUCAAGUCAUCAUGGCCCUUACGGCCAGGGCUACACACGUGCUACAAUGGCGCAUACGAAGAGAAGCGACCUCGCGAGAGCAAGCGGACCUCAUAAAGUGCGUCGUAGUCCGGAUUGGAGUCUGCAACUCGACUCCAUGAAGUCGGAAUCGCUAGUAAUCGUAGAUCAGAAUGCUACGGUGAAUACGUUCCC